rnacentral:rRNA from 1 species
AUUGAACGCUGGCGGCAGGCCUAACACAUGCAAGUCGAACGAGUGGCGGACGGGUGAGUAAUGUCUGGGAAACUGCCUUAUGGAGGGGGAUAACUACUGGAAACGGUAGCUAAUACCGCAUACCAUCGGAUGUGCCCAUAUGGGAUUAGCUAGUAGGUGGGGUAAAGGCUCACCUAGGCGACGAUCCCUAGCUGGUCUGAGAGGAUGACCCGCCACACUGGAACUGGGACACGGUCCAGACUCCUACGGGAGGCAGCAGGGAGGAAUAUUGGGCAAUGGGCGGUAGCCUGAACCAGCCAAGUAGCGUGAAGGAUGAAGGUCUAUGGGUCGUAAAGCACUUUCAGCGGGGAGGCGUUACCCGAAGAAGAAGCACCGGCUAACUCCGUGCCAGCAGCCGCGGUAAUAC